rnacentral:lncRNA from 10 species
AUUGACUAGACUGGCCUUAAUCUCCUGACCUCAAGUGAUCCGCCCGCCUCGGCCUCCCAAAGUGCUGGAAUUACAGGCGCGAGCCACUGCGCCUGGCCCAUUCUGUCUGUCUUGUUCACUCUCCUUAUUGCUCUUGUUCUCUCUCUCUCUCUCUCUGUGUGUGUGUGUGUGUGUGUGUGUCUGUCUGUCUGUAUUGGGGGCUGUCCGUUGUACAUUCACCAUGUUGGCCAGGCUGGUUUCGAACUCCUGAGCUCAAGUGAUCCACCUGCCUCGGCCUCCCAAAGUGCUAGGAUUAUAGGCAUGAGCCACCACGCCCGGUCUCCCAACAACUUUUCACCCACCCCACCCCCACUUUCCUCCCUCUCCAAGCAAAAUGAGCCCCUUGAAGUUUCCAGAACCUACCAGGAUCACUAUCAUUUGCCCCUCUCCCUAAAAAACUUUCCCUUCAUUAUUUAUUAUUAUUAUUAUUGAGUCUCACUCUG